GGACAGGUGGCUGAGUGGCCGAAGGCACUCGACUCGAAAUCGAGCGACGUUUAAUCGCGUCCGUGGGUUCAAAUCCCACCCUGUCCG
rnacentral:tRNA from 1 species